CCGUUUCAGGGCCUUUGCACUGAGGCCCCCUCCGCAGAUAUCCCCGCCCAUCUACAGGCAGCUGCACUGCUGCUUGCCAUGCCAACCUCAGCGAGACCUUCCGUGAUGAGCCCAGGUAAAGCUCUCCUUCUCCACCCACCACCCCGUCCCCUGAGUUAUUUGCUUCAUAGCAUCCAAGUGUUGUAACUAAAUUCUGACACAAAAGCAGCCACUCUCUUGGUCUUCUUAUCCAGAGCACGCAGAAAAAUCCAAACACAACGUAAUUUGAUGAGAGGAUGAAUAAAUGAAUACGUAAUCGUCAAACUUAACUUCUUUAAAGUAUUAUAAAUGCUUUUCAUUUAAUCCUUAAAAUAACCUAAUAAGUAGGUACUAUUAUUGUUCUAGUUUUACAGAUGAGGAAACUGAGCCCCAAAGAAGUUGAGUAAAGUUGUAAAGUUUGAACCCAGACAGCACGCUUAAUCUAGAAGGUGGUCUCCUCAAAAAAUAAUAACCCUCUUUCCCGGCCAGGUCUGAACAAUUUGAGAAAUAAAACAAAAAAAACGAAAAUGGAGAUCAAAAUACUAUCUUUUUUACUGAUAAAGGCCAGGUUGGAGGACAUGACAUGAGACCUUUUAGGAAAACAGACGUGUUAAAACUGAACCUCUGAUUUGGCAGUCCAGCUCUCUCAGCCCCGGGCAGCACUAUGAAGGGGUCCCGCCCAGGUGGACUUACCGUGAGGAGGGAGCGUACUCAAGUCCUCAGAGAACAGGACAGCCCCAAACCAAGCAGGCCCAGUUAUUCUUCCCAAAUUUACCAAUCAAAUAAGUCAUCCCACCUCCCCAGGGACAGAGUAGAUAACGGGAUACAGAAAGGUCAGGUAUUUCAUCCACUGAGUACCCUUCAGAGGAAGAGAAUGUCAGGAAUGGGGAAAGCAUGCCAUUCUAACAGCCUCAUGAGUACCAGGGAAUGCAUGCAUGCACACACACAUGGGCUUUAAAGCUGUAAAGGAACUCUGGGGAAAAAAGAUAAGAUAAACUAAAAUAAAAAUUGAGAAAACACGAGUGUAAGGCCGUGUGGGAUCCCAGCUCCCGUUGGGCGCCCCCCACUGGCAGCUUGUGGAGCAGAGAGAGUGGUCCCCGCCCAGCCCUGCCCAGAUUCCUGACCUGCAGAAGCAGGAACAGGGAAACGGAUGCUGCUUUGAGCCUCGAAUAUUGUCACACAGCAAUAGGUAACUGAUGCCAGAGCAAAUGGAUGCAGCAUUUCACAGUUUAUUUUUUUAUGAAACUUUUCUCCAUGAAACUACCUAAUAGCCUCUGGGAAAUACUGGUCUAAGUAGUUAAUGUGGUGGACACGUUUAAGUCACAGUGAGGUAACUCUGGAAAAAGUGAUUGCUAUGGUUUCAGAAAUCUCAUCCUUAAAUGACCUAAGUCAGUUUUUCAUUAUCUGUUGUUAGUUUCAAACAAUUUCUAAAAGUUAUUCGUUUGUUCAACAGGUACUUGUUGAGUGCUACAGUAGAUUGUAUUUAGCAAUUGUGUUUAACAAUAGCUCCUAUCCCACUCGGUCUUUGUGCGAUGUGAGUGUGACACUCCUCCCAUCAAGUCUGUGUCCCUUCUCGGAGAAGCUGAGUCAGUCUUUGUGACUUCCAGACAACAGAGUACUGAGAACUGAUGCUUUGUGACUUCUGAUCAUUAAAAUGCUGAGCACUUCUGCCUUGCUGUCUUCAGGGACAUGUUCUUGGAGCCCGUCUGCCAUGUUUUAAGGAAACUCAAACUAGCGCGCUAGAGAGACCAUGUGGAAGGACCAUGCGCAAGUAUCCUGGCUGACAGCCCAACUGAGGUUCUGGUCAACGGCCAGCACCAAUCAACAAACAUGUGAGUGGACACCAGGAGUGGACACCUACUGGUGAUUCUAGUGACUAAUCAAUAUGUAGAUGUUCUGGCUGACAGUCCAGCUAAAGCCCCAUCCAAUAGCCAACAUCACCCACUAGCCAUGUGAGUGAAGGCACCUUCAGAUCAUUGCAGCCCCUAGCCAUUGAGUCACCCCCAGCUUCUUCUCAGAGAUCAUGGAGGCCUCAGAUAUCUGAAGGCCACACGCCAUUCCCUCCAUGUCAAAUUUCUGGUCCAGAGAAUGCAUGAGCAUAAUAAAAUGAUUUUUAUAUUAUUAAAUUUUGAAAGAGUCUGUUAUGCAAUAAUAGAACUUUAACUGGUAGGCACUUGCCCACUGUGUGCAUGGUACUGGGAUCGGUGGGUAGAGAGGAGAAGGAUCUAUCAGACUUCAAGAAACUAAUUAUUUUAACUCUAUCCUCUCACCUAACUAACUUCUGUUCAUCCUUCUCAUGUCAGCUUAAAUAUUCCCUCCUCCAGAAAGUUCACCCUACUAGCCAUCCACUUCCAGACUGUGUUAAGUAGUCCUUCUGUGGCCAAUGGCCCCUGGGCUUACCCCAACAUGGCUUUUACAGGUUUCUCCCUCAACUGAUUCUACUUGUCGAUUCUCCUCUGGUCCACAAGUAGACAGCAAGCUCCUGGAGAGCAGACCCUGCAUCUGUUUCCUAUUAGGCUUCCUGACCCCCAGCUCAACUAAGAUGCAUUUGUCGAAAUUACUCCAUAGUUGUUAAAAAAUGGAGGCACUAUUCAAUAGCCAAAUGAAUUAAUCUGCUUUGUUUCUCCUCAAAUGUCUUACCAGAUGUGAUAUGGAGAUGAAUAUUAUUUUCUUUCCCAAAGAAAGAGUAUAUCUUUUAAAGGAUAUAGCCUAAACUUUGCAGCCAGCCUUACCUCUCACCUCCACCCUCACGCAGCCUGUGCUCAGCCAUGUCAGACUCUGCACCCUUCUUCCACUAUCUCAUCCCUUGGCAUGGUGCCUUCUCUUCCACUGCCAGGAAUUCUUCUCUUCUUCCCCUCUAUCUGAAAAACUUAUAUGAUCUUUUUUCAAGAUGUAAAUCACGUUACCUCCUUUGGUAAUGUCUACCAAUGUUAAGGACAGGAUUUUUUUCGUUCUCUUUUCCCACUCCAUAGCAUUUUAUAUUUACCUCUGUUACUGUAAUAUGUUCACUGUAAUUACUUGUGUAAACUUGAUUAUCAUAUUCGGGUUCCACUCUGCCCUUUCUGUUCUCCGACAAGCUCCCCCUGAAACCCCUGGGGGACAAAGAACUCCAGAUACCCUCUGUUUCACUGGCUGCGCUGUUGUGCUCCUAUGGGCCAAGACAUCGUAGAGAACUACUUUUGAUACUGAUCCUUUGUUCAGCUCCUUGGGCACAUGUCUGUGGGAGUGGGCAAAAAUGAAAAGUUGAGUGACAUGCACAAAUUCUUCCCAUUUUCUUCCACAAUGUGCUUUUUUUUUAUGAUUGGCACCUGAGCGAACAACUGUUGCCAAUCUUCUGGGGUUUUUUUCUGCUUUUUUCUCCCCAAAUCCCCCAGUACAUAGCUGUAUAUUCUAGUUGUGGGUCCCUCUAGUUAUGGCAUGUGGGAUGCCGCCUCAGCAUGGCCUGAUGAGCAGUGCCAUGUCCGCACCCAGGAUCCGAACCAGCAAAACACUGGGCCACCAAGGCGGAGUGCGCGAACUCAACCACCUGGCCACGGGGUCGGCCCCAGUGUGCCAGGAGAUUCUUCUAUCCCCUUGUAGGUGAUUACCCUAUGCCAAAGCAAUUCCC
rnacentral:lncRNA from 1 species